AUUGAACGCUGGCGGCAUGCCUUACACAUGCAAGUCGAACGGUAACAGGUCUUCGGAUGCUGACGAGUGGCGAACGGGUGAGUAAUACAUCGGAACGUGCCCGAUCGUGGGGGAUAACGGAGCGAAAGCUUUGCUAAUACCGCAUACGAUCUACGGAUGAAAGCAGGGGACCGCAAGGCCUUGCGCGGACGGAGCGGCCGAUGGCAGAUUAGGUAGUUGGUGGGAUAAAAGCUUACCAAGCCGACGAUCUGUAGCUGGUCUGAGAGGACGACCAGCCAAACUGGGACUGGGACACGGCCCAGACUCCUACGGGAGGAAGCAGUGGGGAAUUUUGGACAAUGGGCGAAAGCCUGAUCCAGCCAUGCCGCGUGCAGGAUGAAGGCCUUCGGGUUGUAAACUGCUUUUGUACGGAACGAAAAGGUUUGACUUAAUACGUUGGACUCAUGACGGUACCGUAAGAAUAAGCAUCGGCUAACUACGUGCCAGCCGCCGCCAUAA
rnacentral:rRNA from 1 species